AAAUAAGAGAACCCCAGAUCAAGAAACACAAUUAAAAAGACUCUUAAGUAAUGAAAAACUGAAUCUUUUUGAGCUUCAAGAGAACCCCAGAUCAAGAAACACAAGUAUAAAGACUCUAAGUAAUGAAAAAAUGAUUAUUUUUUUUUAACUUCAAGAGAACCCCAGAUCAAGAAACACAAGUAUAUAAAGGCUUUAGGUAGUGAAAAAUUGAAUAUUUUUUGUUAAAAAGAGACAGAGAUUUGAGUGAGCUUGAUUUGAUGAUGAUUGAAUUAAAGAACAAAGAGAAUUAAAAUGAAAAGGAGAAAAAGAAAGAGUAGAGAUGAAAAAAUAGUAUUAGCUCGAAUCUCCAUAAACAUAACAUUCAUCAUCUGUUUCUUCUUCAACAACCACAAACAUUUCUCUCUCCUUUCCAUUUUUCCCGGCAUUGCUUUUGCUUCUUUCAUUUUUCAACUUAACAUUAAAUAAUAAUUCAUCUUUACAUUACAUACAUAUAAUUUGAACCCCUUUUGCUUCUUCUCCUUCUUCUUCUUA